AACUUUCGGCAAUGGAUCACUUGGCUUUGGCAUCGAUGAAGAACGCAGCGAAAUGCGAUAAGUAAUGUGAAUUGCAGAUUUCAGUGAAUCAUCGAAUCUUUGAACGCACAUUGCGCCCUCUGGUAGUCCGGGGGGCAUGCCCGUUCGAGUGUCAUUACGCAACUCAAGCUUUGCUUGGUUUUGGAGAUUGUGGUUUAACGACUGCCUCUCUUGAGUAAUUCGGCCAGGUUCUCUGAACCGCAGGUGUUGUGCAUAUUGUUAAAGCACCUUCUGGUUAAAGAAUCUUGACUGCCGUUAAGCAUUCAUUUCAAAAAUUGACCUCGAAUCGGGUAGGGAUACCCGCUGAACUUAAGCAUAUCAAUAAGCGGAGGCU
rnacentral:misc_RNA from 1 species